UACGAAGGGUGCAAACGUUGCUCGGAAUUAUUGGGCGUAAAGCGCACGUAGGCGGCUUUGCAAGUCUCAUGUGAAAUCCCACGGCUCAACCGUGGAAGUGCAUGGGAAACUGCAGAGCUUGAGUACUUAAGAGGAUCGCGGAAUUCCCGGUGUAGAGGUGAAAUUCGUAGAUAUCGGGAGGAACACCAGUGGCGAAGGCGGCGAUCUGGGAAGAUACUGACGCUGAGGUGCGAAAGCGUGGGGAGCAAACAGG
rnacentral:rRNA from 1 species